UACGUAGGCAGCGAGCGUUGUUCGGAGUUACUGGGCGUAAAGCGUGCGUAGGCGGUGUCUUAAGUUUGUUGUGAAAUCUCCCGGCUUAACCGGGAGGGUGCGGCGAAUACUGAGAUGCUGGAGUGCCGGAGAGGUAAGCGGAAUUCCUGGUGUAGCGGUGAAAUGCGUAGAUAUCUGGAGGAACACCGGUGGCGAAGGCGGCAUCCUGGACCAACACUGACACUGAGGAGCGAAAGCCAGGGGAGCAAACGGG
rnacentral:rRNA from 1 species